rnacentral:rRNA from 1 species
GAUGAACGCUGGCGGCGUGCUUAACACAUGCAAGUCGAACGAGGUCCAUGGAGCUUGCUCCGGAAGGCCUAGUGGCGAACGGGUGCGUAACACGUGAGAAACCUGCCCCGAUCUCUGGGAUAACAGUUGGAAACGACUGCUAAUACCGGAUGCCGUCACACCGCUUCAUGGCGGAGUGCCGAAAGAUUUAUCGGAUCGGGAGGGUCUCGCGGCCUAUCAGCUAGUUGGAGAGGUAACGGCUCACCAAGGCAUCGACGGGUAGCUGGUCUGAGAGGAUGAUCAGCCACACUGGGACUGAGACACGGCCCAGACUCCUACGGGAGGCAGCAGUGGGGAAUCUUGCACAAUGGGCGAAAGCCUGAUGCAGCAACGCCGCGUGCGGGAAGAAGGCCCUAGGGUUGUAAAC